GACGAACGCUGGCGGCGUGCUUAACACAUGCAAGUCGAACGGAAAGGCCCUGCUUUUGUGGGGUGCUCGAGUGGCGAACGGGUGAGUAACACGUGAGUAACCUGCCCUUGACUUUGGGAUAACUUCAGGAAACUGGGGCUAAUACCGGAUAGGAUCUCCUGCUGCAUGGUGGGGGUUGGAAAGUUUCGGCGGUUGGGGAUGGACUCGCGGCUUAUCAGCUUGUUGGUGGGGUAGUGGCUUACCAAGGCUUUGACGGGUAGCCGGCCUGAGAGGGUGACCGGCCACAUUGGGACUGAGAUACGGCCCAGACUCCUACGGGAGGCAGCAGUGGGGAAUAUUGCACAAUGGGCGGAAGCCUGAUGCAGCAACGCCGCGUGCGGGAUGACGGCCUUCGGGUUGUAAACCGCUUUCGCCUGUGCCGAAGCGUGAGUGACGGUAAUGGGUAAAGAAGCACCGGCUAACUACGUG
rnacentral:rRNA from 1 species